ACUCCUACGGGAGGCAGCAGUGGGGAAUAUUGGACAAUGGGGGAAACCCUGAUCCAGCCAUGCCGCGUGUGUGAAGAAGGCCUUCGGGUCGUAAAGCACUUUCAGUGGGGAGGAAAGGUUGAUGGUUAAUACCUAUCAGCUGUGACGUUACCCACAGAAGAAGCACCGGCUAACUCCGUGCCAGCAGCCGCGGUAAUACGGAGGGUCCAAGCGUUAUCCGGAAUCACUGGGUUUAAAGGGUGCGUAGGCGGAUAACUAAGUCUAAGGUGAAAGUCUGUGGCUUAACUAUAGAAUUGCCUUGGAUACUGGUUAUCUUGAAUUGGGUUGAGGAUGGCGGAAUGUGACAUGUAGCGGUGAAAUGCAUAGAUAUGUCAUAGAACACCGAUUGCGAAGGCAGCCAUCUGGGCCUUGAUUGACGCUGAGGCACGAAAGCGUGGGGGAGCGAACAGGAUUAGAUACCCUGGUAGGACAGUG
rnacentral:rRNA from 1 species